rnacentral:rRNA from 1 species
ACGGGUGCGUAACGCGUGGGAAUCUGCCCUCUGGUACGGAAUAACUCAGGGAAACUUGAGCUAAUACCGUAUAAUGACUUCGGUCCAAAGAUUUAUCGCCUGAGGAUGAGCCCGCGUCGGAUUAGCUAGUUGGUGAGGUAAAAGCUCACCAAGGCGACGAUCCGUAGCUGGUCUGAGAGGAUGAUCAGCCACACUGGGACUGAGACACGGCCCAGACUCCUACGGGAGGCAGCAGUGGGGAAUAUUGGACAAUGGGCGAAAGCCUGAUCCAGCAAUGCCGCGUGAGUGAUGAAGGCCUAGGGUUGUAAAGCUCUUUUACCCGGGAUGAUAAUGACAGUACCGGGAGAAUAAGCCCCGGCUAACUCCGUGCCAGCAGCCGCGGUAAUACGGAGGGGGCUAGCGUUGUUCGGAAUUACUGGGCGUAAAGCGCACGUAGGCGGCUUUGUAAGUUAGAGGUGAAAGCCCGGGGCUCAACUCCGGAAUUGCCUUUAAGACUGCAUCGCUAGAACGUCGGAGAGGUAAGUGGAAUUCCGAGUGUAGAGGUGAAAUUCGUAGA